GCCUCUGUAGCUCAGUUUGUUAGAGCGCUGCACCGGAAUCGCAGGGCCGUAGGUUCAAUUCCUACCAGAGGAC
rnacentral:tRNA from 1 species